rnacentral:rRNA from 1 species
GGUAGUAAUAUAAAAUAAAACCAAUAAGACUUGGCGGUUAUAGAUAUUUAAAGAAACUCGUUUUAUAAUCGACAACACCCGUUAAUUUUGACUUAAAUUAAAAAUCUAUAUACCGCCGUUUAGCGAACUAUAGUAAAAUUUAAUUCUCACAUAAAAAAAUACUAAAAUCAGGUCAAGGUGUAGUAAAUAUUUGAGAAAAAAUAAGUUACACAUAAAUAAAAUUUAAAGAAAUAAAGUCAAAUAAACACUAUAAAAAUAGAAUUUAAAAAUAAAUAAUAAUUAAAAUUUAUCAUUGAAAUAAUAUCCUAUAAUGU